GAUUGCAUUCCAUAUUUGAAGGCGAGGAUGAAAGAUUCUUGCCCUCUUGGCUGAUGAACGAGGCAACCGUGCUUUCCACUAAGGAAAACGAAAAGGGAGAGUCAGGGAAUGUUUCUUGUAUCAGUUGCACUUUCAUUUGGCAUCAAAGUUAGGUACAUUUGCUGUUCCUAUUUACGCUAUUACAACGUUUGUUGAGUAAAACUAGCAGGUAUUAUCUGUAUAUGACAGUCUGGUAUAGUGAUAUUGUUGUCGAAAUUGCAGAAUCUGAGGUGGAUUUUCAAGAGGUCUUUGUUGGGAAGAAGCUCAUGCAGAUUCCAGGCUUGAUUUUGGCUAAUGCAAGUAUUGCUGAUGGGAGAAUCCAUAAUCCAUCACCACAUAUCAGGCCUGAUGCCACUGCAGGGACCAUUAGAUCGGCUUUCCUACCGUUAAGCUUGUGCCAUACGUAUACGAUCAAGGUUCCAACGCACAUGUCAAUGGCGAAGGAAGCCCCGACGAGGAAGGGAACAGCCAUAGCCAUUGGAAGAGGGACCCAUUUCCUGACGUUCUCUGGGGCUACGUCUCUCGUCAGGUUGGCAGAUACUGCAAAGGCGAAGAAGCCAUAACAAAGCUGUAGGCAAUGGCGGGGGAGAGCAGAGAAGCCUUCGACGCCUAGGAUGGCCAUGUUUCUGUAUAUGAGAGCAUAAGGCGCCUUGUACUCCCCGUUUUGGUCCCCUACGUCAAAGGCGGUGUAGAAGAGGAAGAACGUGAGAGGAGCUACCACGCAGCCAAUUGCAGUCCCAACGCCCUGGCUAACGAGCAUUGAUCGAGGUGAAGUGAGCGUGAGGUGGCCUGUCUUGAAAUCGUGCAUCAGAUCAGAGGAUGUCGAAACAAUGGAUUUUAUGAGCCCACAUCCGAUAAGCCCAGCAACUACUCCAUUUUCCUUCCCAGACAGAGCAGCUAGUGUAAAGAGAGCCACUUUGCCAUAAUUAUAUGCCAUGUUCAUGUCAGUCAGACCAGCCCCAUACGCGUUGCAGAAGCUCAAAGAUGGCGCAAGAACGUAAGCAACAAGAACAUAGUACCACCUCAAAGCGGGGAACAUGAUUGGAAUUACUAUGAUGGAGAUAACAGAGAAGAACAUGUACCCAACACACGCUACCCACAAGGGAAUGCUGCCUCUAAUGAACACUUCGUUUCUUUGUAGAUGAUCAAGGGGCUCAUUCUCGCCUUCUGGAACUGCUAUGUGGCAAACACGGUCAGUGGCAUCAUCAAGAGGCUCAUUCUAACAGUAGCAAGUAAAGAACCGAUUAAACUUGACAAAAGGAAGAAGAGAUUUAUACGAAGAAUUUACUUGUUCUAGAAUUCUUCUUGUUCAGGGCGGUGUAUAUGCUUCUACCAGUGAAAACGAGUAUCUUGAGAAAAUUGUAGAGACCAUCCCCCAGGAUCAGAGCAAUCGAAACAAAAACCUGCAUUGUAAGCCAAAAAUGGCGGGUUAUGGCAUAUGCAUUAAGUAAUAGCAGUCCACCGAAGGAAGUAUGAAAGUUGAACUACACACCUUGUAACCAGUCAGACUCCUCAUGCUGCUUUCGGAUAAAGUUGCUGGGAACCAAGAUCCUUUGCGUUCGAGAAUCAAGGGCCACAUAAUCCCCCAAGACAGAACAGCUCCAAGAAGCAGAGACAAAUUUACGAGGUGGGAGCAAAUCAUUCCUGCACCUAUGUAGGUCAUGCUGAAAUCGAAGUAAAAUCUGCAGAAUUCAAUUGUUCAAGGGAGUCAAGAUUGAAGCAGAUAUAGUUACACAACUGAUUCAUUCUUGUGAAGACGAGAGAAUCAGUACAUACGAUUGCUUCCAAGCUUUCAACCCGAACAGUGGGAAGUUUGCAAAUCCACACUGGUCUCCCCCAGAGUAAAACCACUGAAAGAAACUCCACAGGAAACUGAUCGAGAAGAAUUUCAUGAACCCAUGAACUUGUUUCCUGGAAUUGACAGUGUUUCGUUUUUAUGUUACAGUCAUUCAAAACUAGAUUCAUUUCCAUAAAAUGACGUUUUCAAUAACUUUCAUA